UGUGGCAAAUGAUGAACGUUUAUAUGUUAUUUAUUCUACACUCAGAUUGAGCAGUGUUGACUACAAACUCUGCUUAUUAUCUGAUGCCAUG
rfam:Punica granatum cultivar Dabenzi scaffold99, whole genome shotgun sequence.